AUGUUAUUUCCACUUCUUAUAUUACUACUUUUCACUUUGUUCAUUGGAUUCAUAGGAAUCUCUUUUGAUAAUGGAGGAAUUGGUAAUGGAAUAGCAGAGUUAACCAUAUUAUCAAAGUGGUUAACUCCCUCAAUAAACUUUACCUAGGAAAGUUCUAAUUCUUUUGUAAAUUCUUAUGAAUUUAUUACUAAUGCAAUUUCUUCUGUAAGUCUAGAUAUCUUUGGUUUAUUCAUAGUGUUGGGGAACGCAGUAUUUCAAAAAAAUUCCUACGAUCAUGCAAGAUCUAUCUAG
rnacentral:rRNA from 1 species